UACGUAGGUGGCAAGCGUUGUCCGGAAUUAUUGGGCGUAAAGCGCGCGCAGGCGGUUAUGUAAGAUUGAUGUUAAAGCCCAAGGCUCAACCUCGGUUCGCAUUGGAAACUGUGUAACUUGAGUGCAGAAUAGGAAAGUGGUAUUCCACGUGUAGCGGUGAAAUGCGUAGAGAUGUGGAGGAACACCAGUGGCGAACGCGACUUUCUGGUCUGUAACUGACGCUUAGGCUCGAAAUCGUGUGGAGCAAACAGG
rnacentral:rRNA from 1 species